rnacentral:tRNA from 1 species
GAGGUGUAGGGCGCCGUCUAGUCAGCACAUCUGUUUUGCGUACAGAGGGUCAUAGGUUCGAAUCCUGCCACCUUU